CAUACCUUCUACCUGGGAAUUCCCUACAAGUUUUCUGAACACCUUCUUUUCUCUAUAUGUACUAUUUCACUUAAUGAUUGAUAAAAUAGGGUCCUAUGGUUUCAAUAAUUAUAUCUACAUUUAUGAUUCUUAGAUCUACUUGUACAAUUCUAACCUCUCUCUCAACCUCCAAUCUUCAACUGACAACUGCCUUUUAGACAACUCAAACUAGAAUGCUGCAGACAUCUUAUAGUCAACAUGUACAAAACUUACUUCAUUAUCUUUCCACCAAAGACUAAACUUUUCCUAACUUCCCUAUUCUGUCAAGAAUACCUCCAGCCUCUUAAUCACCAAGUUCAAAAAUAUAGGUUGUCAUUCUUGACAACAUACUUUCUACUCAACACUCCUAUAUCCAAACAGUGAUCAAAUCCUAUUAUUUGCACUUUCCAGAUGUCUUUUGUUAAUUUCCUCUUUUCUUUUAUGAUAUUGCCACCAUCAUGGUCUAGAUCCUCAUUAUCUUACUUCUGGACUAUUCUAAUAACCACUGAUCUCUCUGACUGAAGUCUCUUCACUUUGUUAUCUUUCUUCCACUCCAGUAUAUGGGGUACUCAGACAAGACUAGGCCCACUAAUGAUAAGGUAUGCUGACCUGCUUGUCCAUCUUUGAUAUUCAUGAUCAUUUCUUCCAUUCUCCAAGCUUUUCAUGUGGUCCAAGAAGCUGUAACAUGUGGAGUAGCUAUGUUAUACUGCCCAUUCUUGGCAGUUUCCUACCAUUUCUGAACGAAAAUUAUCUACUAUGACAUUUAAAAGAUUAUUGAGGACAUUUGCUGCUCUGCAUAUUUUCUCCAACAAAUACCUGAACAUUUGAAGUCACCCAGGAGCAUCAAGUCAUUUGUUCUAACCAUCUGUUCCAUUUCCCUUAACAACUGUGCAUCCUCAUCAUUCCUUUGAUUAUAACUCCUGUUGUGUCUGUUGUGAGUAAAUAAGCUACAGAGCACCUCAUGCUCCCAAUGUAUAACCAUGUAAAAUGGGCUCACUGUGUGAUAUGCUGACAGGAUGUGAGAGAAGAAGCAGUCAAUGUUAGAAAAAUCCAAUGGGUCAUCAGGACUCCUACUGUGUUCUGCCAAGUCCUACUGAUCUGAAGCAAGUCAUCCAGUUUAUUUAAAAUAGUCCCCAAUUAAAGCCACCAUGCAGUGCUAUGUUAAAUAAGUGAAUCAGGUCAAUUCAUUUGGAAAACGCAACUAAAAUAAUGGCCAAAUUCUUGUAAGAAGCAAACUUUGUGCUUUUCAAAAGUUAUAUAGGUCUAACCUGUGAAUGGUUUCUCUAUAUAAAUUGAUGAAUGGACUAUCUCCUCCCAUCUCUUACCGAAUGCUCUAUCCAAACUCCCACCUUGAGGACUUGGGGUAGAAGAAAGAUGCCCUAUAUCUUCCAUCACCUAAUAACUCUUAUAUACUCUCAACUUUACUGGAGCACAAAGUUCCUGGAAUCUUUUAGGCUUGUCUUAGUGUUAUAGCAAAAUAUAGCUAUAUAUUUUGCUCUGGAAAGAGAGCUAGAAGUAUUUAAUGUGUAUUAUUGGAAUAUACACCAAAGAGAAAUUCUUAGCUUAGUAAUGAACAUGUCAAUUUGGUAUAAAAUGAAGAAAUAAACAUUCAAACCACCCAGGAAAUCAUUUGCUCAAGAACAAAAAAAAUGUAUCAAUAAUUACUAAAAAUCAUAAAGGCAAUCCAAGAAAUAGAAAUAUCAACAUUGUUCCUACAAUAAAGGUGUCACUGCAUUGUCUAUUCUCAAUAUAGCUGGCAAUUUGUGGAUCACGUAUAUUAUAGUAGUGGGGGAAAAGAGAGAGGGAGAAAAAA